UAGAGGGAAAGCCCGGGAAACGAGGAGCGACAGAACCCAGAGAGAAGCGGAAAGAUGCUAAGUCCGAACAAACUGUCGAAUAAGUUUAUGAAACAGUUUUAUUUACUGUUAUCAAUCGGGAGUUUAUACGAGUGUUUGCUCAUGUUGUUAAGAGUGUAACCGAGCGUGUUUUAGAAGUGAGGGCUCGUUACUGCCGCUAACUGAAGGCAAGGAUGGGAAUGUUUGCUAGCAGUUAGCAUCGCCAGUUACUAAUCAGGAGAAGCAGCGGACGAGGUUGGACAUUGGACGUUACCAGGAGCUGGUUCAGGACGGAGGACAGAACCGAGCCUCGGAACGGGUCUCCGGUCACGUCGCUGCCUCUGGGAAGAGGCUUUGGAGUAAAUUGCUGGAUCGCUUUUCCUGGUUCUGGUGUGAGUAUCCUGACUUGCAAGGUGGAUUUCUAUAUGAGCUCCAGGAUGCCUCCAUUACAGAAACAGAAUUUCAUUAGGCUUCUAUCAAAGAAAUCACAAGAGAGGUGCCAUGAUACCAGUCCAUAUGCUGCAGUGCGUUGGGAGCUUUGUUGCAGUAAUAUUUGCGUCUGAGACGCUGCGCCCACCUGAGCUCCACACCUUCUGGAUCAACCAACUUGAUCAGUUGUCAUAUUGUGCCUUGUGACACAACAUAUCCUCUCUGAGUUGCAGUGAGGUGUGCAAAAUGUCUCCAGAUGAUUCCAGCUCAGCUCCUCCAGUCACUGACCUUUGACCUUCCUGCUAACAUCUUAGCUUGUUAGCUCAUCUUUCUUUCACGCCCAUCACAUCUUAACGUAACGUCCUUACACCAACAGCAAGUGAAUGCAGCAUCAGCAGCCAAUGAGCAUCCGACAAAGAAGGUGACUGAGACCACUGACGGAUUAAAUUCAUCUUCUGAAACCAAACUUGUUCAUCAGGACCUCUCUGUCAUCCAGCAGACAACUGGAACGUGCAAUGUUCUGUCUUCAUGACUUUGAAUUUUUUUUUUGUAUCUUAUUCUACUUUAUAUUUAUUGUAAAAACAGACAUAAAACACAAUACAUAAACACAAACUAGUCAAAUAAGACAACCACUACUCCAGACCAUGGCAGGUUGAUGGCAUAUGAAACAAAGCACAUAACAGGACAAUUAAUCAUGUAGCAUAUUAAUGUAGCGCCCUGCUAAUUUGUUUAUAUAGUUUUGUUAUAUUUAUUUCAGUUGGUAAAGUGUUCUGAUGUGGGCCUUUAAAUGUGUUGCUGCUGUUAACAUUUGUAUGGUUAAUGUGACCAGUGAAACAGAAAUGUCUUAUGUUUUGAAAAGCCUUUGAACGCCUCAAGUUUCUCUGAAUUGGGUUCUCAUUUGUUUGGGCAGCUGUCAAUCAUUUUCUCUGUUGUUGGAGAUUAACCUGUCGGAUUGUUAGAGGGGCGGGACCAGAGGGAAAGCCCAUAACUUAAUGAAAGAGUUUUAUUUACUGUUAUCAACCAGGAGUUUAUACGAGUGUUUGCUCAUGUUGUUAAGAGUGUAACCGAGCGUGUUUUAGAAGUGAGGACUCGUUACUGCCGCUAACUGAAGACAAGGAUGGGAAUGUUUGCUAGCGGUUAGCAUCGCCAGUUGCUAAUCAGGAGACAGCAGAGGAGGAGGUUGGACAUUGGACAUUUCCAGGCGCUGGUUCAGGACGGAGGAGUUGUGGACUGGACCGAGCCUCUGGGCGGGUCUCUGGUCAGGUCGCUGCCUCUGGGAAGAGGUUCUGGAGUAGAUUGCUGGAUCACUUUUCCUGGUUCUGGUGUGAGUAUCCUGACCUGCAGGUUCAAGGUGGAUUUCUAUAUGGAUGCCUCCAUCACAGGAAAUUACUGCUCACAGAAUUUGUGCCAUGACAGACGGUUUAUCUCCAAACUGCAGUGAGGUGUGCAAAAUGUCUCCAGAUGAUUCCAGCUCAGCUCCUCCAGUCACUGACCUUUGACCUUCCUGCUAACAUCUUAGCUUGUUAGCUCAUCUUUCUUUCACGCCCAUCACAUCUUAACGUAACGUCCUUACACCACCAGCAAUUGAAUGCAGCAUCAGCAGCCAAUGAGCAGCUGACAAAGAAGGGGGCGGGACCGCUGACGGAUUAAAUUCAUCUUCUGGAACUUGUUUCAUCAGAACCUCUCAGCCUGUGAACCCACCAACACCAUCAGAACCGACACCUCUGUGUGGCUGUACAGUGUGUGUG